rnacentral:rRNA from 1 species
UAGGGAAUAUUGGGCAAUGGCCGAGAGGCUGACCCAGCCAUGCCGCGUGCAGGAAGAAGGCCUUCUGGGUUGUAAACUGCUUUUACCAGGGAAGAAAACGCCCCUGCGGGAGUAACUGACGGUACCUGGUGAAUAAGCACCGGCUAACUCCGUGCCAGCAGCCGCGGUAAUACGGAGGGUGCAAGCGUUGUCCGGAUUUAUUGGGUUUAAAGGGUGCGUAGGCGGCCCGUUAAGUCAGCGGUGAAAUCCCACGGCUCAACCGUGGAACUGCCGUUGAUACUGGCGGGCUUGAGUUCGGUCGAGGCGGGCGGAACUGGUGGUGUAGCGGUGAAAUGCUUAGAUACCACCAAGAACCCCGAUUGCGUAGGCAGCUCGCUGGGCCGAAACUGACGCUGAGGCACGAAAGCGUGGGGAGCGAACAGG